GAUGAACGCUGGCGGCGUGCCUAAUACAUGCAAGUCGAGCGAACAGACGAGGAGCUUGCUCCUCUGACGUUAGCGGCGGACGGGUGAGUAACACGUGGAUAACCUACCUAUAAGACUGGGAUAACUUCGGGAAACCGGAGCUAAUACCGGAUAACAUGUUGAACCGCAUGGUUCAACAGUGAAAGACGGUCUUGCUGUCACUUAUAGAUGGAUCCGCGCCGCAUUAGCUAGUUGGUAAGGUAACGGCUUACCAAGGCAACGAUGCGUAGCCGACCUGAGAGGGUGAUCGGCCACACUGGAACUGAGACACGGUCCAGACUCCUACGGGAGGCAGCAGUAGAGAAUCUUCCGCAAAGGGCGAAAGCCUGACGGAGCAACGCCGCGUGAGUGAAGAAGGUCUUCGGAUCGUAAAACUCUGUUAUUAGGGAAGAACAAAUGUGUAAGUAACUAUGCACGUCUUGACGGUACCUAAUCAGAAAGCCACGGCUAACUACGUG
rnacentral:rRNA from 1 species